rnacentral:rRNA from 1 species
GUGAGGAAUAUUGGUCAAUGGACGGAAGUCUGAACCAGCCAUGCCGCGUGAAGGAUGAAGGCGUUCUGCGUUGUAAACUUCUUUUAUUUAGGAAGAAACCACCGAUUUCUAUUGGUGUUGACGGUAUUAAAUGAAUAAGCACCGGCUAACUCCGUGCCAGCAGCCGCGGUAAUACGGAGGGUGCGAGCGUUAUCCGGAUUUACUGGGUUUAAAGGGUGCGCAGGCGGUCUUAUAAGUCCGGGGUGAAAUACUACAGCUCAACUGUAGAACUGCCUUGGAUACUAUAGGACUUGAAUCGAGUAUAGGUCAGCGGAAUACAACAUGUAGCGGUGAAAUGCAUAGAUAUGUUGUGGAACACCGAUUGCGAAGGCAGCUGACUGGGCUUGAAUUGACGCUCAGGCACGAAAGCGUGGGUAGCGAACAGGAUUAGAAACCCCAGUAGUCC